rnacentral:lncRNA from 1 species
GGGGUGGUUGUAGGUUUGUGGUUGGUCCCUUAAUUCUCAUAUAAUAUGCUAUAUAUAUCAUUAGUACUAGGGUUUUAAUAAUUUUAAAAAUUCAAAAAUCCCCUAAUGAGUAAAAAUAGUGCAAAAAUAAAUUUCAAAUAAAAAAAUUAAAUUAAUCUAAAUAAUUAAAAUUGAAUUGAAACAAAAGCAUGGAAAAUUCUAUUUAUUUAUUUCGAACAUUUUGACUAAG